UGGACUAUACUUUCAGGGGUCAUUUCUGUAGUUGGUCACUAGAGGAGAGUGAUCGCAUCUGUACGGUGUCACAAGCCACAAGGACAAGUGGGGUGUUCUCUCCUGAGCUCAAAGCAAGCUGGGGGUGUUAAUUGACAGCCAACUGAAUAUGAGCCAGCAGUGUGCCCAGGUGACCAAGAAGGCAAGUAGCAUCCUGGCUUCAGAAAGGAAGGAUGGCAGGACUGGC
rnacentral:snoRNA from 1 species